rnacentral:rRNA from 1 species
UACGAAGGGGGCUAGCGUUGUUCGGAAUUACUGGGCGUAAAGCGCGCGUAGGCGGUUAUUUAAGUCAGGGGUGAAAUCCCGGGGCUCAACCCUGGAACUGCCUUUGAUACUGGAUAUCUGGAGUUCGGGAGAGGUGAGUGGAAUUCCGAGUGUAGAGGUGAAAUUCGUAGAUAUUCGGAGGAACACCAGAAGCGAAGGCGGCUCGCUGGCCCGAUACUGACGCUGAGGCGCGAAAGCGUGGGGAGCAAACAGG